UUUUUUCUUUUUACAAACAAUAUCACAGUGAAGCUCCUUAUUUAUGUACCUUUUUGUAGGUGUGCAAGGAUGAUUUAAGUUAAUUUCUAAAAGUAGAAUUUCUGGGUCAAAGAGUACAUACGUUUUAAAUUCUGAUAGAAACUACAAAUUUCCUCCCCAAAGAAGAGUCCAAUUUAUCAUCCCAGGAGCAAACAAUUUAUGACUAUUUCACCAUAUUCUCAUCAACCCUAGAGAUUAUCAAUUUAAUUUUGGUCAGUGGGCAAGCAAAUAGCAUUUCAUUCCACAGAAACACUUUGGGAAACACUGUACAGUAAUUAUUUUUGGUUUUUGAGCCUUAGCCAGGAAACUAUUUUUAUUUCAAAUGUCUUCAAUAAUCUUUCCAAAAUACUCAUCACUGGAAACCUUUGUACAGAAUAUUAAUUCACUUCUUUGACUUAAAAUCUGAAUUAAUUUUUAGCUGAUUAGUUAUGGAUCCAAAUUGAUAAUCUCCUAUAGGACUAUGGAAGGAGAAGUAUAAAGGUAUGGCUGGAAUGUAUGGUGACCCCAGAACACCUCUGUAUGCUGGGGUUUGGAAGGAAACUCUGACCUGGGUAGGACUGACCUGUGAGACAGGACAAGGACAGAUACAUAUAAUGCCACUUUGGAAAUUUUUAAGGAAUAGUUUUAAAAAAAGCCUCCUUAUUCAUUACAUAAUCCCAUGUGCAGAGCUCCAGGGGAACUGUUUCUUAUUCACUGCAUAGGACAGCUCAUCAGGGAAGAGAGGAGAUGCAUUAAAGAGAUGUUUGGAAAUUUGCACAGAAGAAAGAGAGUAAACUGGGGUGUGUGGAUGGCUCAGGGGGUUGUGUCUGCCUUUAGCUCAGGUCAUGAUGUCAGGGUCCAGGGAUCAAGCCUCAUGACAGAGGGAGUCAAGAGCUGUAAGUCAAGUUGGAAACAGGUCCUCCUUCAGUCAGGCCUUGAGAUGACUGUCAGGCCUUGGGAGAGACUCUGAAGCAGAGGGACCCAGCAAAGCCAUAACCAGCCUGCCUGCCCACAGAAACUGUCAGAGAAGAACUGAAACCUCUCAAUUUGAAAGUAAUUUAUAAUGUGGCCAUAGAGAACAAGCAGCUUUCAACUGGCAAAAGUGCAUUUCAUCCCAACUCUGCCUGUCUCCACAGUCUGAGGUCUUAAUUCAUUAAUGCAUGCAUUCUCUCAGACAUAGGAUCCCUACGUACCUGGUAUCUGCCGUGCUAGGAACAAUUUCUGGAGUGACGUACUAAGAGUCUACCUUUUCUAAAAAAAAAAAAAAAAAACAGGAUCCAUUCUACAUAAGCUCUGGCUUCACAUCAUGGGACCAACUUGCCAGUUAGGCAGAGGUGGGCAAUUGCAGCCAUGCAUGUUUCCAUCUGCCACCCCUGUUCCCCCAGGCCUGCUCUCCUGCACUCCCUGCCUCCUUCCUUCCUUCCAGGGGUCUGCUGCUCCAGUGCCUGUGGACAAAGGGCAUCUCCAGUCUGCAGAAAAGCUGAAGGCAAAGAUGCCAUGCAGGGACACCUGGGCGCUGGUCUUCCUUCUGCUCCCAGGAGAGGGGACUUGCUCAUUCUGAGUUCGGCUACAGAUAAGGAGAGCCAGUUGUUUUAAAGUGUUCUGUGAAACACAGGGCACAGGCUGAUUGUGUGAGUUCUUUCCAGAGCCUCUGAAAUAAAGGCUUGCAGAAUGGCUAAGAAUUGAGUUUCUAGAUCCAGAGAGAGGCCCUCUUGCAGGAUGGACUCUGUGCUGGACUGCUGGAGAAUCUGGAGGGCAAGGGAAACUUUACUGAGAUACACCACACAGACUCUUACUCUGUUGAGACAUCUCUUUCCCAAAGAGAUUUUGUACCCUCAGCUGAGUGACUUUGCUUUCCUCUAAUCAUGUCGUGGUGGUGCAGCCUGGUCUCCCCCCUUCUCACCUCAUCACCAGAUUUCAGUAUUAAUCUUCUCCUGCUGGUGAAAAUGGGUUGUUUCAUCAAGUAUAGAGUAGUCCCUAACUUGUACAAAGAGACAUCCACAUGAAACCAAUAGAGACUUGAAGUAAGGAAGUGCUCAACAGUCCUCAGAGCCACCAUGUUAAUGCUUCCCACAGAAGAGGUAGAUAUGUGAUUUUCAUUUAAACCCAACUCUGCCUAGAUUCGUAACCAAUGUUAAAUGCACCAAUGUGUUAGUUCCCAAGUUGUUUUUACCAGUCAGGGGUGCUCACUAUAGUUCACCUAAUCUUCAGAGGGCGAGCAAUGCUGGUGUGAUCAGGAAUGACACAUUUUGGCUAAGAUACCCCUGGCGUCUCACCUUGUUGGUUAGUCCCACACGAACUUAUUUUUUUUAAGCAAUGUAAACUUAGCAGUAAAUAUCUCCUUUUAGGAACUGUCCUUACAUCAUCCCAUACUACCCUAGUGCUUCAAUGAUUUCCCUGGUCAUGUCCAAGUAAAAGUCAUCCCCAGUCAAGUGUCCCAAACAGCAUUUGAGUCUUCUGUUUUUUGUGUUAGUCUUGGGUGGUUCUAUAAAAAAGCCAACUUCAUUGAGAGAACUUUUUUAAAGUCUGUUAUCCUCCAGAAAAUUUGGGGCUUUUGAGGUAAGAGAGGCAUAGAUUCUGAUGUUCACAGAAAACUCAGGAAUUAGAGGUACUGAACCAUACAGUUACCGAGGGGGACUCGUGCCAUUUCCAGGGUCAUCUCUGUCCCCAUCCUUUCUCUUUGUGCCGCCAUUCCCAUCUUACCAAUCUCCCCCAACACCUCUAAGUUGGUCAAAUCAUUAAGAGACAGGCCAAUGCUGCUUACUCCCCAGUAGGAGUAAAAGCUAUA
rnacentral:lncRNA from 1 species